rnacentral:rRNA from 1 species
UUCGGUAUGAGAGUGUAUUUAUUAAGGGGUUUUCACAAACUUUACCUCGACUUUGAAUUAUUAUAAAUUAACAUAUCGAUUUGCAGUUUACUGUUUAUCGAAAUUACGAACUUCAAACUGAUCCAUCAAUUACAUUCUUAGUAUCUUUGACUAAAAAGAUAUUAACGGAUAACGAAGGAUUAGGGUUUGAUUUCGAAGAGGUAGCCUGAUACACCGCUACCACUUCCAAGGAAGGCAGCAGGAGCGAAAAUUACUCAAUGACACCUCGUUGAAGUAGUGACGAGAAUUAACGCAAUUGUGUCCUAAUAGGAACAGUGUGCGUGAUGAAAACAAUUUAAAACCAUUAAUGAGAAACAAUUAGAGGGCAAGUCUGGUGCCAGCAGCCGCGGUAAUUCCAGCUCUAAGAGUUUAUGUGAAUGUUGCUGCAGUUAAAACGCUCAUAGCACAUAUAAUUGAUUCAUAUCAAUUAUAAUAUUUUAUGAAAGAUUAAUAUUGAAUGGUUAAAGAAACUUUAGUUAUUAUGAUCAGUGUAGAAAUACAUUGUGAUUCAUCUUCGGAUGUUAGCUAAAAAAGAUUAAGUUAGAACAAAUUAGAGUGUUUAAAACAAGCUAUAAUUGCUUUGAAUAGAUUAGCUUGCUAUUACGAAAUAUGACUUUCCAUAAUUAAAGAGUUUGUACACGCAAGUGUAGUUAUGGAAUGUAAUGAAAAAUGAGAAUUGUUUGAGUAACUUUUAUUCUGUGGGUAGAGGUGAAAUUCUAUGAUCCACAGAAGAAACACUAAUGCGAAAGCAUUUUACUGAGAUGUUUUUGCCUGUCAAGAACGAAAGUUGAGGGCGCGAAGAUGAUUAGAUACCAUCGUAGUCUCAACUGUAAACUAUGUUGAUUUAGGAUAUGGAAUCAUUUAUUAUGACUUUCCAUGAACUAUACGGGAAACCUAGAAUAUUCGAACUCUGGGGGAAGUAUAGUCGCAAGACCGAAACUUAAAAGAAUUGACGGAAGAGCACCACCAGGCGUGGAACCUGCGGCUUAAUUUGACAACGCGGGGAAGCUCACCAGGUCAGGUCAUAAAAAGGAUUGACAGAUUGAUAGAUCUUUCAUGAUAUUAUGAAAGGUGGUGCAUGGCCGAUUUUAGUUGGUGGUUUGAAUUGUCUGGUUAAUUCCGAUAACGAACAAGACCUUUAUCUGCUAUUUAGCAAUAGAAGGUUCUAUAACUUAGGAUAGACUUCGGUUUAUCUUAUACUUUGGAAUACCCAAAGUUUGCUUCUUAGAGAGACUCUUUUUGUUUGUGAAACAAUUAAAAGGAAGAAAGACAAUAUCAGGUCUGUGAUGCCCUUAGAUGUUUUGGGCUGCACGCGCGUUACAAUGAAAUAUUCACUUAGUAUUACCUAAUAAGAAAUUAUUUAGGAAAUCUCAAAACCUAUUUCGUGAUGGGGAUAGAGUUUUGUAAUUAUCGCUCUUGAACGAGGAAUGCCUUGUAUAGGUUUAUCAUCAAUGAACCUAGAAUAAGUCCCUGCUCUUUGUACACACCGCCCGUCGCUUAUACUGAUUGAAUUAUGAUAUGAGGACCUUAGACUAUAGACGUUUGUGAU